GGUUGUGACUCAGUGGUAGAGUGCUUGCCUAACAUGGGUGUGGCACUGGGUUUGAUCCUCAGCACCA
rnacentral:tRNA from 1 species